CAAUAGCGUAUAUUAAAGUUGUUGCAGUUAAAAAGCUCGUAGUUGGAUUUCUGGUGGGAGCGAUCGGUCUGGCGCUUAGCGCGAGUACUUGCAUCGUCUCCGGCCAUCCUUGGGGAGAGUCUGUCUGGCAUUAAGUUGUCGGGCAGAGGAUCCUCAUCGUUUACUGUGAAAAAAUUAGAGUGUUCAAAGCAGGCUUAUGCCGUUGAAUAUAUUAGCAUGGAAUAAUAAGAUAGGACUUUGGUACUAUUUUGUUGGUUUGCGCACCAAAGUGAUGAUUAAUAGGGACAGUUGGGGGUAUUCGUAUUCCGUUGUCAGAGGUGAAAUUCUUGGAUUUACGGAAGACGAACUACUGCGAAAGCAUUUACCAAGGAUGUUUUCAUUAA
rnacentral:rRNA from 1 species